UACGAAGGGGGCUAGCGUUGCUCGGAAUCACUGGGCGUAAAGCGCACGUAGGCGGAUCUUUAAGUCAGGGGUGAAAUCCCAAGGCUCAACCUUGGAACUGCCUUUGAUACUGGGGAUCUCGAGUCCGGAAGAGGUGAGUGGAACUGCGAGUGUAGAGGUGAAAUUCGUAGAUAUUCGCAAGAACACCAGUGGCGAAGGCGGCUCACUGGUCCGGUACUGACGCUGAGGUGCGAAAGCUAGGGGAGCGAACGGG
rnacentral:rRNA from 1 species